rnacentral:rRNA from 1 species
UACGGAGGGUGCGAGCGUUGUCCGGAAUCACUGGGCGUAAAGGGCGCGUAGGCGGCCUGAUAAGUCGGGGGUGAAAUCCUGCGGCUUAACCGCAGGGCUGCCUUCUAAACUGUCAGGCUCGAGCACAGUAGAGGCAGGUGGAAUUCCCGGUGUAGCGGUGGAAUGCGUAGAGAUCGGGAAGAACAUCAGUGGCGAAGGCGGCCUGCUGGGCUGUUGCUGACGCUGAGGCGCGACAGCGUGGGGAGCAAACAGG